ACCCAUUCGUUGAUGCCAUAUGGCUGCUUUAUUUUCAGAGACAGCACAUAUAGAUGAAAGAAGGGUUGGUUGAUCAAGGAUAUAUAGUCCUUGGAAAAGCUUAGGUUGGUUGAUCAAGGAUAUAUAGUCCUUGGAAAAGCUUAGCUCUGCCAAUCUUCUUCGAAGUGUACUUGUCCUGAAUUAUGCAAGUUUCAGUGAAGAAUUGAACAAAGAAUGAAGAUCCCUAUGUGAUUGCACUUACAUAAAGUAAGUUGAAGGAGAAUUCAGGCCUAUAGAGAACAUCUUUCAAAAUAAGUGUAUCAGAUAGCUUUACAGUGUCAAUACUUUUGACUUGAUAAGUGUUUUUAUUUGGCAAGCUAAUAAAUGUAGAGCAUGGUUGAAUAUCAGUGAGAAACUCUUUAGAACAGCAUAUAUGAGUGGAAGCUCCACAAUCAACAACCCAAUAUGAAUUAGAGAGAAUACAUGUUAUGUGAUUGGUGGAACAAUUUGAUGAAGCUGUAAAUUGAGACGGAAGCGCGCUUAACAUUGUAAUAAGGAUUUUGUUGGGUUUGUGAUGUUGCUAUUCAGGUUGGUUGAGGAAUCUUGGGUUUGAGUGACAACUGAAUUUGUGUUGUUUCUGGGAGAAGAGCCUGAACUAUUAUUGUUGAUUCUUUGUUGUUGUCUUGUUUUAUAUCCACGGGAUAUCCAUGUAUUUUGUAAUAUUUAUCAACAGUGUGUCCUGGAAUCUUACAAUGAGUACAAACGGGUCUGUUCUUGCGCUUCUUAUGUGUAGAGGUACUUUUGGAAUUAUUUGCAGAAGUAGCAAUAACAAUGGCCAGAUAAUUGACAGCAGUAGGGGAAAGAGAAGCAAUGACUCUUUGUUGUUCUUCUUGAAGAAGAAAGAAAAAGGCAUGAGAUAUGGAAGGGGUAGGUUCCAUGAGAAGUAGCUGUGUCAGGUAUGAACAUAAGACUCAUUGAGUCCCAUAGGAAAAUCCAUGAGAUACUCAGUAUAAAGAAAAUCGACUACUUCUUGAAUUCCUCCACAUCGACAAUUUCCACCUGUGCAAGUAGGUCUAUAUGAGUUUAGUUCAUAAAUUAGAGUCUUAAACUUGAUAAAAUACAUGCUUAUCGAUUCUUGAUUUUGAGAAAUAGUUGUGAGCGAUCUUUCCAGGUGGAAGAUGCGAGGAGCAUUUCUUCCAUCGGAAUCGCUCCUUGAGGUCAAGCCAAAUGCUCCUUUCUGAAUCUAGAAAAAGAAUGUUGGCUGAGAUUGUCUUGGAUACUGAAUUUAAGAUCUAAGAAAUGACGAUAUUAUUGUUUCUGAUCCAAGAAGGAAGAGAAUCAUCGUUUGAUCGGGGAAGAGAACCAUCAAUAAAAUCAAGCUUGUUUUUUUACGGAUAAAUCGAUUGCCAUCGCCCGGCUCCAAGAAACAUAAUUUUCCUCUGUUAAUGGCUCAAUGACUAAUAUCACACUAGUGUUAUUGUUGUGGUGCAGGUAAUAUAGGUUAAGAUAUCCUUGAUUCGGAUCAACAGGAUUUUGAGGGCCAUCAAAUGUGGGAGGAGGAUUUUCUUGGGUCUGUGAUGUGGUGGAGGGAUUCGGAUUGACAGUUUGGGAGGUUUGCUCGGCCAUAGAAAAUUCAGGUGAGAAGGGCACUCGACGAGGAUGGAAAGAAAUGAGAAAGUCUGAGGCAGGAAAAGAUUUAAAAAAAAUGAUUAUUCAACUGAUACCAUAUUAGAAAGGCCACCAAAUAUAAAUCACUUUCUCAUCC
rnacentral:lncRNA from 1 species